UACGUAGGUGGCAAGCGUUGUCCGGAUUUACUGGGCGUAAAGAGCGCGCAGGCGGUCGUUCAAGUCGCGUGUGAAAGCCCCCGGCUCAACUGGGGAGGGUCACGCGAUACUGAUCGACUCGAAGGCAGGAGAGGGUAGUGGAAUUCCCGGUGUAGUGGUGAAAUGCGUAGAUAUCGGGAGGAACACCAGUGGCGAAGGCGGCUCGCUGGGCCGUUGCUGACGCUGAGGCGCGAAAGCGUGGGGAGCAAACAGG
rnacentral:rRNA from 1 species